UUCAGUUCCACCAUCCUUAGCACGUUGACUUUGGACCACAUGUUUUUGCCUCCUGGUCCCAAAAUGGCUGCUGGCUCUCCAGUCUUCACAUCUGAAUCCAAUGCAGAAAAAAAGAGGAUCAAGGCAAAAGCUUUGUCUUAAGGAGAUUUCAUCUUUGUACUGGUUAAGGACAGCAAUUUGGACUGAGCUUUGGUGAGACUUCUUCUGGACUAAGCCAGCUUUGACGCAUCUUGACUGGGUUUGUUCACGCGUCUGCAGUCGACAAGUGGAUCACUUGGGCCUGGCAGGAUAAUGAUGGCCUCAGCUGGGAUACCUUGGACUGCUUUGGCUUCUCUCCAUGAGUUUGUUCAUCGUCUAGCAGUCUAGCUCAGGUUAUACGGUUUCAAGAGCUGCAAGAAGGCAAGUGCUUUUUAAGUCUCUGCUUGUGUUGCCACUGUUCUAUUGGCCAAAGCAAGUCACAUAGAGGGCACGGCCCCACUACCAAAGGAUGAAGACACAGGAGGCAUGAACAAAUUGGGCCAUUUCUGUAAUUAACCCACCGAAGCAGGUUGGGUGAAAAGCAGAUGGAUAUAGACUGGAUGCAGUGGUUCACACCUGUAAUCCCAACACUUUGGGAGGCUGAGGUGGGAGGAUUGCUUGAGCCUGGGAGGUAGAGGAUGCAGUAGCUGUGAUUGCACCACUGCACUCCAGCCUAGGCAACAGAGCAAGACCCUCUCUUGAAAGAAGAAAAAAAAAAGCAGGUGGAUAUAGAGAUAGAGGUGUCUGACACAGCUCAGAGAAAAUAAAUCAUAGGUCUAAAAUCUAAAUGCCUAGAGAACAUGGCACAUGAAUGAAUGCGACAUCCCUCAUUGUAGGCACCCUGGGACUUUGGUGACCCACACCCUAAGGGAAUCUCCACUAUUCACUCCCAUCCAAUCACUGCCAUGCAGAAACACCAGCCUGGGGUGGUCAAAGAGUCCCUUUUCUUUAUUGAAACCAGACAUCUGUAUUUUAGUAUAGAGUUUCUCACUGUUUAAAGGCUGCAGACAAAUUAAAAUUUUUAAAUCCUGGAUAGUCAGCUGAGAAAUAGGGAGACAGUUUAAACAGGCUUUUCACAAAAGAGAAAAAUUCAAAUGGCUAAUAAAUAUAUAAAGUAAUGCCUGACUUCAUUAGUCAUCAGAGAGAUGCAAAUUAAACCAGCAAUGAGGUACAGUUCACAUGACAAUCUCAGACACCACUGGUGGGACUGCAAGUUGAGGCAAGAUGUUGUCUAGAAGAGUUGAAGAUAUGCAAAGACCAUACUCAGAAAUUCCACUUCUUGGCACAUAUUAGGACAUGUGAGUCUAUAUUCUACACAGUCAAGAAUGAGCAUGGCAGCAUUGUACCAAACAGGCCGACACUGGAAACAACAUCAAUAAUAGAACCAAUAAAUACAUUGUCGUGUACCCAUAAAAUGGAGUGCUAUACAGCAAUGAAAAUGACCAAAAUAUUGAUAUAGGCAACAACAUGAAUGACUCACACAAACCUGAUGCUCAGUAAAAGAAGUAAGACAUAAAUGAAUGCAUAUUGUGUGAUUCCAUUUAUAUGAAGUUCAAAAAAGAACAAAACUAACCUACGUAUUUACGUAUCUGUACGUGGAUGAUAAAAUCAACUUUUAGAAGGGAGGAAAACCUUACGAAACAGCUUAGAUGAUGGUUACUUCUCGGGGCAG
rnacentral:lncRNA from 10 species